CUGGUGAGUGUGAUGUGAGCUUGGCACAUAGUUGUACAUCUGGGUCUGCUUAGCUGCAGGUCUCCGCCUCUGGUGGGGAUGCGCGAAUCACUUGUCAAGUGUUGUGCGCCCGGGCUGUGUCGAACUGGCUCGCCAGUGCACUUUCUCGGAGUGGUCACCACGACCGGCGUUGCUGCCUUGCUGUUGCGGUUAAACCGGCCUUGUAGGGUCCCUGUGGCCUUGCUUGGUCGGGAUGGCAGGUAGCCCGUUGUGUACUUUCGUGCGCCUCGGGUGUAAUAGCUGACUGCAUCGGUUUUGUGCGGUACGUCGGAGACGGCGGCUUGUUGUGCGUGCGUGCGUACCUUGUGCGCUGGCGGCGCUGGGUCCGGUUGCCAUGUUGCUUGUGAAUGCAGGCCUGGCGAUGGCUCGGUGUUGUUCGGUGUGCGGAUGCGUGUGUGGCACUUUAAAGGGCCAAUAGUCUGUGGUGUAGUGGUAGACUAUCCACCUGACCCGUCUUGAAACACGGACCAAGGAGAGUAACAUGUGCGCGAGUCAUUGGGCGUUACGAAACCCAAAGGCGAAGUGAAAGUAAAGGUUCGGCUUGUCCGGACUGAGGUGAGAUCCUGUCGUUUCUCACGCGCGGUACCACCAAGCAUCGAGCGGCAGGCGCAUCACCGGCCCGUCCCAUGGCGUAGAAGCAGCCUCGUGCUAGCUCACCGCCGGGGCGGAGCAUGAGCGUACAUGUUGAGACCCGAAAGAUGGUGAACUAUGCUUGCGCAGGUUGAAGCCAGAGGAAACUCUGGUGGAGGACCGCAGCGAUUCUGACGUGCAAAUCGAUCGUCAAACGUGAGUAUA
rnacentral:rRNA from 1 species